rnacentral:rRNA from 1 species
AAAUUGAAGAGUUUGAUCAUGGCUCAGAUUGAACGCUGGCGGCAGGCCUAACACAUGCAAGUCGAGCGGUAGCACAGAGAGCUUGCUCUCGGGUGACGAGCGGCGGACGGGUGAGUAAUGUCUGGGAAACUGCCUGAUGGAGGGGGAUAACUACUGGAAACGGUAGCUAAUACCGCAUAACGUCGCAAGACCAAAGUGGGGGACCUUCGGGCCUCAUGCCAUCAGAUGUGCCCAGAUGGGAUUAGCUAGUAGGUGGGGUAACGGCUCACCUAGGCGACGAUCCCUAGCUGGUCUGAGAGGAUGACCAGCCACACUGGAACUGAGACACGGUCCAGACUCCUACGGGAGGCAGCAGUGGGGAAUAUUGCACAAUGGGCGCAAGCCUGAUGCAGCCAUGCCGCGUGUGUGAAGAAGGCCUUCGGGUUGUAAAGCACUUUCAGCGGGGAGGAAGGCGGUGAGGUUAAUAACCUCACCGAUUGACGUUACCCGCAGAAGAAGCACCGGCUAACUCCGUGCCAGCAGCCGCGGUAAUACGGAGGGUGCAAGCGUUAAUCGGAAUUACUGGGCGUAAAGCGCACGCAGGCGGUCUGUCAAGUCGGAUGUGAAAUCCCCGGGCUUAACCUGGGAACUGCAUUCGAAACUGGCAGGCUAGAGUCUUGUAGAGGGGGGUAGAAUUCCAGGUGUAGCGGUGAAAUGCGUAGAGAUCUGGAGGAAUACCGGUGGCGAAGGCGGCCCCCUGGACAAAGACUGACGCUCAGGUGCGAAAGCGUGGGGAGCAAACAGGAUUAGAUACCCUGGUAGUCCACGCCGUAAACGAUGUCGAUUUGGAGGUUGUGCCCUUGAGGCGUGGCUUCCGGAGCUAACGCGUUAAAUCGACCGCCUGGGGAGUACGGCCGCAAGGUUAAAACUCAAAUGAAUUGACGGGGGCCCGCACAAGCGGUGGAGCAUGUGGUUUAAUUCGAUGCAACGCGAAGAACCUUACCUGGUCUUGACAUCCACAGAACUUUCCAGAGAUGGAUUGGUGCCUUCGGGAACUGUGAGACAGGUGCUGCAUGGCUGUCGUCAGCUCGUGUUGUGAAAUGUUGGGUUAAGUCCCGCAACGAGCGCAACCCUUAUCCUUUGUUGCCAGCGGUCCGGCCGGGAACUCAAAGGAGACUGCCAGUGAUAAACUGGAGGAAGGUGGGGAUGACGUCAAGUCAUCAUGGCCCUUACGACCAGGGCUACACACGUGCUACAAUGGCAUAUACAAAGAGAAGCGACCUCGCGAGAGCAAGCGGACCUCAUAAAGUAUGUCGUAGUCCGGAUUGGAGUCUGCAACUCGACUCCAUGAAGUCGGAAUCGCUAGUAAUCGUAGAUCAGAAUGCUACGGUGAAUACGUUCCCGGGCCUUGUACACACCGCCCGUCACACCAUGGGAGUGGGUUGCAAAAGAAGUAGGUAGCUUAACCUUCGGGAGGGCGCUUACCACUUUGUGAUUCAUGACUGGGGUGAAGUCGUAACAAGGUAACCGUAGGGGAACCUGCGGUUGGAUCACCUCCUUA